GCAGCUUGUGCACUGUCACUGUGCUAACCUGCGUGCCUCUCCUUCCCUCCCUGCUCCGCAGGCACAGCACGGGAUCAGCAGGGAGAGGCGGCUCUGUCGUGGAGGAUCCAGGAGCUCGGCGUGCGUGUCUGAGCCUGCAGCUGCGAGCCGCAGCAGGACCCAAGGUCUGCACACGCCUGUGUACAGAAGAAUGAUGCGAGGACAGAAAAGUUGCAAUGGCAUUGCAGUUCCCUGCACAGAAAAUAGCCAGGGAGGUGAAGCGCGGCCAAGUGGUGCCGUUCGACUGCGCCCCGACUGGGAGCAUCAGGUGAGUGACGAGGACUGAGCCGCUCCCCCCCUUUAGCAAGCACACCAGCAGUGUCAAGCCGCAUCACCCUUUUCCAGACCGCUGGCAUGUGCUUGGGGACAAUAACCUGUACUUUUCACAGCCAGGUCUUCUGAGCCACAGCACCUCCUGCUCUGCGGUGGCCACUGCUCACUGAUCCCAGUGAAAACAAACUUGUGUACAGGCACUCUGCAAAAUUCCCACCUUAGAUGCCACUGAAGCGCAGCUUUGGCUUUCGGGCAUCUCCCCUGCAGGCCGUCCCUUGUGUCAUUUCCGCAGAGGAUUCCUUGUUAGUUAAUUACUUCAUUUUGUUUUUCAUUUCCAAAGAAUAUCAGUUGACUUUUACAGCUUCUUCAGUGCUCCCCAAGCUUCAUGCCACACCUAAAUGCUCAUCUUCGCUGCCUGAAGGUCCUUUCUGACCUGAACGAUUCUAUGACUUUGGUCCGUACUUCAGCUUAUGGGAGAAGCUGCACGUUGAUUGGGUUUUGGAGAAAAAGAUUUGAAUGUCCAGCUGUGAAUUGAUCUUGUGUUUUGUCUUCCAGGUUCAUUCCCAUUGUGAUCUGCAAAUGGCAAAUCAGGGUUGCUCUUUAUUAAAACCGAAAGCGCUCUCAGAAUGUUGAUGGAGGUGAUGAUUGCAGGGGCGAUGCUUCUGGAGAAUAGCUCCCCCAUCUUCCCCAGGGCCUGGGCAGAGAGAGGUGGAGCUCGGAGUCCCCCCAGUCCUCCCGCGGGUGUCGGCGUCUGCAGCGCCAUCGGGACGGGAUCCACGGCGCAGCUCCCUCCUCCAGAGGCCGAAAGCUCAGCCUCCAGUUUCGUGCAGGGUGAUCACCUUUCCAAGGCAAUACAAGCACUUCCCAAGAGCAGCUGGUGAAGAUGGCGCAGAAGCAAGGACAAGGGUGCAGUGAAAAGUUUGGUGCAUCGAUCCAGCUUCCGGACAUGGUAGGGAAGACGCACCGUUUGAUAAAACACCAAACACGGUAGUUUUCAUUCUUUGUGUUUUUCUGUGCCCCCAUUGUGAUCACCCCUGGAAGUAUUAUUUUUGAAAAACAUAUCUAGGAGAGAAAUCGUAACCUGCUUUGCGUCCUUCUGCCUGGAAGGGUUGUGACACAGGGAAGUGAGGAAGGGGCUGGCCGGGGUCAGCCUCUGCUGAGCCUCAGCUCUGGCUGUUGCUCCUGCUUCCCGGGUACACCCAAAAGCUGUCAUGAUCAAAAGAGCAGGCAGCCCUUCUGUCCUGAGUCACAGGGGCCAUUUCUUCCUGAGUGACUCAAGAUGGGAAAUCAUUCUUGGAGCUUCAAAAGAAAAAAAAAAAAAACCUCAUGCAAUCAUUUGUAAGUGUGUAUAUAUACACAUACAUUUCCUUCAAUGAAGAAGAAAAUCUUAGAAAUAUCAUGUCACGUCUGGCUUCCUAGAGAAAAUCCUUAUCUCUGGGCUUCUGAAAUCAAAUGUCUGUGCAUUUAUAGAGCAUUUCCCCUCUUUUUAUGUGCCUCCCACAGUGAUCUUCUACCCUGCCCCAUGGCAAGAAGAGAAGAAGAGUUUGGUGAUUUUGCUGCUCUGCUCUCUCAAGGGUGUUGCAGGCUGCGUAGCAGGGAGUGAAGCCCUUGUCGCUGCUCAUCAGACACUUUCCUACAGAAUUCUCCCUGCAGUGAUAAAAUUAGACUGGUGUUAGUGAGCUGCCAAGUAGAGCAGGUAACAUUGGACAAGAAUGGUUUCUGAGCUGCUGUUCACUAGCACGUGUUUCCCCUUUCCAGCGCGGUGCCGCCGCCCAAGAAAGGAUUUUUGUGGGUCAGCCAGAUGUGCUCCUGCCUCCCACUGAGGCUCUGAGAUGGAGCCGAGUUUGCAUUCCAGUUUAUUGCAACAGAGGGUCAUCGGAAAUUUCCUCAGCUAUCUCAGGCACAGAGCCAUGGAAGCAAGUCAGCACGAAGACUGAACGUGUAAGAAGAUGUGGGGUGCAAUGGAGAACCUGGCAGGAGCAUCCGACGCACACGUGCACGAGUUUUGCUUUUUGCUUGGAUUGAAGCUCAAAAGUUGUAAGGAAUUUGGGAAUGAGAUGGGACGUUUCAGAAGAAGAGGAAGGAGGCGAAGAA